rnacentral:rRNA from 1 species
CUGCAACCCGCCUGCGUGAAGUUGGAAUCGCUAGUAAUCGCGGAUCAGCAUGCCGCGGUGAAUACGUUCCCGGGCCUUGUACACACCGCCCGUCACACCAUGAGAGUCGGGAACACCCGAAGUCCGUAGCCUAACCGCAAGGAGGGCGCGGCCGAAGGUGGGUUCGAUAAUUGGGGUGAAGUCGUAACAAGGUAGC